rnacentral:rRNA from 1 species
GAUGAACGCUAGCUACAGGCUUAACACAUGCAAGUCGAGGGGUAACGAGAGGAAAGCUUGCUUUCCUUGUCGACGACCGGCGCACGGGUGAGUAACGCGUAUCCAACCUGCCCCCAACUAAGGAAUAACCUUGCGAAAGUAAGACUAAUACCUUAUAAUUUCCUCAGAUGACAUCUGACAAGGAAUAAAGAUUUAUCGGUUGUGGAUGGGGAUGCGUCUGAUUAGCUUGUUGGCGGGGUAACGGCCCACCAAGGCAACGAUCAGUAGGGGUUCUGAGAGGAAGGUCCCCCACAUUGGAACUAGGACACGGUCCAAACUCCUACGGGAGGCAGCAGUGAGGAAUAUUGGUCAAUGGGCGGAAGCCUGAACCAGCCAAGUAGCGUGCAGGAUGACGGCCCUAUGGGUUGUAAACUGCUUUUAUACAGGAAUAAAGUUAGCCACGUGUGGUUAUUUGUAGGUACUGUAUGAAUAAGGACCGGCUAAUUCCGUGCCAGCCGCCGCGGUAA